ACCAAGGAAGAGGCAAGGACCCUUCUGCAUAUAAAAUGGUUGUUACCAGAGAACAUUAAACAUCGAUCAUGAUGAUACAUAUGUUUAAAACCAGAACAAAUUAACUAAUUUGUUGUAGAGAACCAAAAGGAAAGAAAGUGUGAGAACAGAGAAAAUAUACUAAGAAUUUAAAGGCAGCCACACAGAACUGUAACCAAUCCAACUAUAUGAUGGUAUACACAUACAGUUGGAACAAAAUGCAGUAAAUCUGAUCCUAGUACUUGAAUUUAUUCUUAUGCAUGUAUCAAGUAGUCUUUUAUGAGCAUCUUGAUCUAUUUAUAUUUAAUUCCUAACCAUUCAAUUUUUACAUCAGAUAUUAUCUUUCUGUUGGCAAAAGAAUUUAUAAGAACAUUAAAUCAGCAUAUAAGACAAAGCCACAAAAGCAUGUUCUAAGCAACCUAAAGGUGACACCAUAACAAGAGAGCAUCCUAAUAAACUGGUAGCCCACUUUUCAACUUAACUAAGCUUUCACCCAAGAAAUGGAAUUUGUCCAAAUCCAUUAAGCAAUAUGUCAAAAUGGAGAUUUCAAGGACACAAUAUCAGAAGUCUAUUUGGUCGUACCAAAAUGGACAACUCUGUCGAGGCCCUUACAAUUCCCUGUGCUAAGCAAAAUCAACUUCUAAAUAAUAUGGAAAAAAAUACAACUAUCUCAAGAUAAACACAAACAAUUGGUAUAACAUCUUUCUAUGGGAUUUGCAGGGUGGUCCCAAUUAAUAUAGUGGUUUUACCAAAUUAAUUUCAUAGAAAUAGUUAAAAUCUUGUUCCAAACGAAAAUCAAUUAUUAUCAAACUAAGACAGCCAUACAAAAUUUGUAUCACCACUCCACCCAGGAUGCCAUAAACAACACCCAUAUAAGGACAUUGCUUAAAAGAAAAGCCCUAACAACUAUUUUAGCAGCCAAAGCCAUUGCCUGCAUAUGGCUAAGCACAUGAUAUUGGGAAAAACACAUACAAAAAAGUACCUCUCCUUACUGAUGCAAAUGCGCUGCUGCACAUAUCAAGCACAGCAAUCUGUUUAUUCUAUAAAAUUCUCAGUAGGAAGUCUCAAGGAAGAGACACAUGGAGACACAUCAGUAAACUAAAUAUAAAGAGCAAUAAUCUUAGCUAUAAGCUAAGUUUUGUGCAUAUGACAUAUUCCCAUAAGCCUUAAUUUAAACCAAAAUAAAAAAUCUAUCAUGUCAUAAAUAUGUAUCACCUAAACAAAAUAGGAAGAGAAAAAAAUACUGCUCAAGUUCAACCAACUUCUAUGAAAUAUUCCUCAACAAAAAAUGCAAGUGUAUACACAAGGCUUUUCCAUUUUCAUUACGUGUAUAAGAAAUUUAAGACUCCUUAUUAGAGGAAGUAAGGAACCAGAAGUAUAUACUUACAGGUCAUUGUUUGCAUCAUACUAGUUAAAAAACUAAUGUUCUACAUUAUAACUUUGAAUAAGCAUAAUCCAAGAUAGGUAAGCAAAUUUGAGUGUAUAAAUUUCUCAACCACAUACUUCUGAAGAGGUGGUUCUCCAAA
rnacentral:misc_RNA from 1 species